AUUGAACGCUGGCGGCAGGCCUAACACAUGCAAGUCGAGCGGAGUGGCGGACGGGAGAGUAAUGCCUAGGAAUCUGCCUGGUAGUGGGGGGAAAGGUCCGGAAACGGGAGCUAAUACCGUAUACUUUCAGACGAGCCGAGGUCGGAUUAGCUAGUUGGUGGGGUAAAGGCCUACCAAGGCGACGAUCCGUAACUGGUAUGAGAGGAUGAUCAGUCACACUGGACCUGAGACACGGUCCACACUCCUACGGGAGGCAGCAGUGGGGAAUAUUGGACAAUGGGCGAAAGCCUGAUCCAGCCAUGCCGCGUGGGUGAAGAAGGUCUUCGGAUUGUAAAGCACUUUAAGUUGGGAAGCGUUACCAACAGAAUAAGCGCCGGCUAACAUCGUGCCAGCAGCCGCGGUAAUUC
rnacentral:rRNA from 1 species